rnacentral:rRNA from 1 species
UACGUAGGGUGCGAGCGUUGUCCGGAGUUACUGGGCGUAAAGGGCAUGCAGGCGGUCCGACGCGUUUUGGGUGACAGCGGGUGGCUUCACUACCCGAGCAUGCGAAAGACGGUUGGACUUGAGGACUCGAGAGGGACACGGAAUUCCGGGUGGAGUGGUGAAAUGCGUAGAGAUCCGGAGGAACACCGAAGGCGAAGGCAGUGUCCUGGCGAGUGACUGACGCUGAGGUGCGAAAGCCAGGGGAGCGAACGGG